rnacentral:rRNA from 1 species
GAUGAACGCUAGCGGCAGGCCUAAUACAUGCAAGUCGGACGGGAUUUGGGAGCUUGCUCCUAAUGAGAGUGGCGCACGGGUGCGUAACACGUAUGUAACCUACCUUAAUCAGGGGGAUAGCCUCUCGAAAGAGAGAUUAACACCGCAUAACAUAUUUUUAUGGCAUCGUAGAAAUAUCAAAUAUUUAUAGGAUUAAGAUGGGCAUGCGGAACAUUAGCUAGUUGGUAAGGUAACGGCUUACCAAGGCUACGAUGUUUAGGGGAUCUGAGAGGAUGACCCCCCACACAGGUACUGAGACACGGACCAGACUCCUACGGGAGGCAGCAGUAAGGAAUAUUGGUCAAUGGGCGCAAGCCUGAACCAGCCAUGCCGCGUGCAGGAAGACGGCCCUAUGGGUUGUAAACUGCUUUUGUACCGGAAUAAACCCUUUUACGUGUAGAAGGCUGAAUGUACGGUAAGAAUAAGGAUCGGCUAACUCCGUGCCAGCCGCCGCAGUAAGAC